rnacentral:rRNA from 1 species
UACAGAGGUCCCAAGCGUUAUUCGGAUUCACUGGGCGUAAAGGGUGCGUAGGCGGUCGGGUAAGUCUGAUGUGAAAUCUCACAGCUUAACUGUGAAACUGCAUUGGAUACUAUCCGGCUCGAGGAAUGGAGGGAGACUGGAAUACUUGGUGUAGCAGUGAAAUGCGUAGAUAUCAAGUGGAACACCAGUGGCGAAGGCGAGUCUCUGGACAUUUCCUGACGCUGAGGCACGAAAGCCAGGGAGCAAACGGG